ACUUUGUCUGACUUCGGACAUUUAAAGAGAAGGCACUGACGCACAAAUGACCGGUGAGAUCUGCGACCGAACGUUAGUAAUAAUGUGCCGUUUGUAGUGUGUUAGUAACUACUUUUACAACAUGAGUUCAGAAUCGGUCAUUCUGUUGGAGACUGUCAACUUCGCUGCUGAAAAGCACCGCUAUCAACGACGUAAAGACGCGGAACAAACGCCAUAUAUCAACCACCCAAUAGGAGUGGCAAGGAUCCUGAGCCAUGAAGGUGGGAUCACAGACAUUGAAGUUUUGCAAGCAGCUUUGCUCCAUGAUACAGUGGAGGACACUGACACCAGCAUAGGAGAGCUACAGGCUAUCUUUGGGCAAACGGUGGCUCGAAUCGUUCAGGAAGUGACAGAUGACAAGGCGCUACCCAAGCAGGAGAGGAAACGUCAGCAGGUGGAGCAUGCACCUCAUGCCAGCCAGCAGGCCAAACUGGUCAAACUGGCUGACAAACUAUACAACCUGAGGGACCUGAACCGCUGCACACCCACAGGUUGGUCGGCAGAGCGUGUUCAGGAGUACUUUGUGUGGUCAGCCCAGGUAGUGCGAGGACUGAGGGGGACCAACCCAGCACUGGAGAGACACCUAGAGGAGCUCUUCAAGCAGAGGGGGGUUGAGCUUUGACACCUCUCUACUUCUGACACAGGGUGGCACAACAGAACAACUCUUGAUGCACACUUUUGUGAGUUCAUGUGAAAAAAUGGCGCCUUUCCUUCGCUGGAUGAGCCGUUUGGCAAAAUGAGAGUAUACCCACUUCUCCAGGCACCACUACAGCCCUGAUUGAGGUUAAACAUGUAUGAUCAAAUAUGGUCAAGAAUAUUGAGUUCUCUGAACUUGCUACUGAUUCUCUGUUGGAGGGAUUUACAUGUCAACUUUGGUUAAAGUUUAUUCGUGUUCUUUGGACCGUGAGAUUUUCUGAAGCUCCUGGGUAGAAUUUGCUUAGAAGAUGCAGGCGUUAUUUGACUACGGUGUUCCUUUUUAGGCAAUGUGUGUACAGGGCCCUUACUAUAUUGUCUUUCCCUGAAUCCUCACUUCCACUUUCAAAGUCUCUCCCCUCUGACGUUGUCCUCCAAUUCGUUUAGAGAAGGCGAGGAAAGAGGAUGUGGGAAACCUAUGAGGAAGAGCCAUGGAUUGGUUGGCAAGAUUAAGGAGGCACUCUGAUUGGUGGGCUGUGCGGACACGUGAGAGGGGGCCAGCAGAGUAGCAGCAGGGUCAUAAUAGCAGCAGCAGCAGUGGGGUCAGCUCCGCUCCACACUUACUGAGCACUGGGGCAUCAUGCAGACGAAGAGUAGCUUCACUGGUCUCCUCAUCACUGCUCUGUGUGCGGUGGCCUCUUGUAAACUCGGAGAAUAUCACUAUGUGUCUGAAGAGAAGACCUGGUCAGAGGCUCAGCAGUACUGUCGUGAGCACUACACUGACCUGGCCUUCAUCAGCAACCAGGAAGAAGUAAAUCAGCUCCUUUCCAUUUCAAGGGGUCAUUGGACCUGGAUUGGUUUGCACAGAGAUGUUAACGACCCUACAGGAUGGACAUGGUCAGGAGGAGAGAACUCAGCAUUUAGGUUUUGGAAGUCAGGAGAGCCAAACAAUGCUGGUGGCAUUGAGGACUGUGUCACGGUACAGUGGGAUAUGAGAUGGAUGGAUUCGCUUUGCUCCCGGACAUUCCCCUUCUUAUGCUACAAGGAGAAGCUGAUCCUAGUUCAGGAGAUGAAGACAUGGGAGGAGGCUCUGGAGUACUGCAGGGAUCACUACACCGACCUCCCCAGCCUGCUCUCUGAGACUGAACAUCUCCAGGCCCAGAGCAAGAUAGAGGCCGCCCAGACCGACCAUGUGUGGACGGGUCUGAUCUUCCUGGCCAGAGAAUGGCUGUGGGUGAACGGGGACCACCUGGAGUACCAAGCCUGGUCCGGCGGGGAGCUGCCCCACUGCCCCGCCCAAUACCUCCACUGUGGGACCCUGACCAGAGAUGAAGAGCACUGGGGAACCAGGAACUGUGAGGAGAGGAGGAACUUCCUCUGCUACAGAGCGUGAGCCCCAGUGGAGAGAGAUAUUACUGUAGUAGAUAUGAUCAUCUAUGUAUGCUCUCUACUUGUUACUAGUUAACGCUGUGAUUGAUUAUUCACUCUAUUUACUUGUUGGUGCAUAUAAACCUAUUGGGUUUAACCCAGGGGAGGCAGGUAGCCUAGCGAUUAGAGCGUUGGGCCAGUAACCAAAAGAUUGCUGGUUGGAAUAACUGAGCCGACAAGGUGAAAAAUCUAUUGAUGUGCACUUUAGCAAGGCACUGAACCCUAAUGUGCUCCAGGGGCGCCGUACUACUAUGGCUGACCCUGUAAAACAACACAUUUCACUGCACCUAUCUGGUGUAUGUGACAAUAAGUCAUAUAUGUUUUGGUGUGUGUUUUCUACAAUAGUCUACUAGUUUUGUACCUAUAGAUACCGUGGUUAUGAUAGUGGGUGCUUUGUGUGUACACAGACCAGAAUACUGGGCACAGAUGUCAGUUCAAUGUCUAGUUUUGAUAACAUUUAAUUGAGUUGGUAAUUAACUUCUUUUUUUUUUACCAUGUCAUUCGAUUUAGGUAGGGUAAAAAAAAAUAUACAAGAAAUCACGGAAUUCCUUCAGGUUGAUGACUCUGCAAAUCCAAUCAGUUUUCCGUUUUGAUGCAUCCUCAUCAGAAUGAAAAACAGUAACAGUAGAUAUGAACGUACACAUCAUGUAUUGUACAUCAUAUAUUGUAUAUCAUAUAUUGUAUAUCAUGUAUUGUAUACCAUGUAUUGUACAUCAUAUAUUGUAUAUCAUGUAUUGUAUAUCAUGUAAGGAAACCAAAUGUUGGUAUGAAAUAAAUAAUUAACUUAGACAAA